GCGANCGGCGGACGGNUGAGUAAUGCCUGGGGAUCUGCCCAGAUCGANGGGGAUAACAGUUGGAAACGACUGCUAAUACCGCAUACGCCCUACGGGGGAAAGGAGGGGACCUUCGGGCCUUUCGCGAUUGGAUGAACCCAGGUGGNAUUANCUAGUUGGUGGGGUAAUGGCUCACCAAGGCGACGAUCCCUAGCUGGUCUGAGAGGAUGAUCANCCACACUGGAACUGANACACGGUCCAGACUCCUACGNGAGGCAGCAGUGGGGAAUAUUGCACAAUGGGGNAAACCCUGAUGCANCCAUGCCGCGUGUGUGAAGAAGGCCUUCGGGUUGUAAAGCACUUUCAGCGAGGAGGAAAGGUUGGCAGCUAAUAUCUGUCAGCUGUGACGUUACUCNCAGAAGAAGCACCGGCUAACUCCGUGCCAGCAGCCGCGGUAAUACGGAGGGUGCAAGCGUUAAUCGGAAUUACUGGGCGUAAAGCGCACGCANGCGGUUGGAUAAGUUAGAUGUGAAAGCCCCCGGGCUCAACCUGGGAAUUGCAUUUAAAACUGUUCAGCUAGAGUCUUGUAGAGGGGGGUAGAAUUCCAGGUGUAGCGGUGAAAUGCGUAGAGAUCUGGAGGAAUACCGGUGGCGAAGGCGGCCCCCUGGACAAAGACUGACGCUCAGGUGCGAAAGCGUGGGGAGCAAACAGGAUUANAUACCCUGGUAGUCCACGCCGUAAACGAUGUCGAUUUGGANGCUGUG
rnacentral:rRNA from 1 species